rnacentral:lncRNA from 1 species
CAUUUUUUGAUAGCAACAGUUUUCUUUUCUUGACCAUCGUUAAAAGGAAAAUUCCAAUCAGGUAUAGUCCGAGAAACCAGAAAAAGUAAACAAGAUGGGUAAAAUCGAAUUGUUAUAUUUUUUUCGCAAAAUUCUAGCAAAUAAUGAAUAUUAUUCGCCACAAUUUUAAUUUUUUCGCAUCAUGCGAAAAUGGACCGCCAGCGGAAACCCUGC